rnacentral:rRNA from 1 species
AGGACGAACGCUGGCGGCGUGCCUAACACAUGCAAGUCGAGCGAGGAGAUCCUUCGGGAUGAUCCUAGCGGCGGACGGGUGAGUAACACGUGGGCAACCUGCCUCAUAGAGAGGAAUAGCCUUCCGAAAGGGAGAUUAAUACCUCAUAACAUUGCAGUUUCGCAUGGAACAGCAAUUAAAGGAGUAAUCCGCUAUGAGAUGGGCCCCGCGGCGCAUUAGCUAGUUGGUGAGGUAACGGCUCACCAAGGCGACGAUGCGUAGCCGACCUGAGAGGGUGAUCGGCCACAUUGGGACUGAGACACGGCCCAGACUCCUACGGGAGGCAGCAGUGGGGAAUAUUGCACAAUGGGGGAAACCCUGAUGCAGCCAACGCCGCGUGAGUGAUGACGGCCUUCGGGUUGUAAAGCUCUGUCUUCAGGGACGAUAAUGACGGUACCUGAGGAGGAAGCCACGGCUAACUACGUGCCAGCAGCAGC